UACCUGCCUCUCCUCUCCCUUACCACGUGUCACUGAGGCAGCUCCUCCCCCAGUCUUUUUCCCUGCCUGUCAAAGCUUGGGGUCUCUUCGGCUGCCUCCCACUUUCCUAUCCUUCAGUCCCCUUCUCCAUUUCGCCCCAAGAAACAGUCAGUGACUGAGGACUCCUGGCCGAAAGGCGGUGUCUCUACCUAAAACCGGGAGGAUAAGGGCUGCCCACCUGGAAGAGGAAUCCCUGCUAAAUUAGCUCUUUCUUGGUUUUAAAGAGGAAAGACAUUUUUAAGGAGACAUUCCAGAGGAAGACAAUCAUGAUGAUAAAAGGCCUUGGUACCAAGCUAUAAAUGGAUCAAUGUAAGGAACCAGGAAUAUUACUCAUAAAGAAGAAAAACCUUAAUGAGGACAUGAGAACCAUAAGUGACUUUAGAGAUUUACAUACAUGUUUGCAACUAAUGGUUCCCCAUCCACAAUUUAUGUUUCAUUUCCUUUGUUUUAAUAAAACUUUCUUUUGGGGAGAAAAAUUUAUAGUGAUAUCUGACAUGUUAAGUGUUGGCUGACUGACUCAUAAUGAUAUUAAAUUCUUUGCAAAUGCUGAAUUCAUGUUAAUACUAUCAACUCCUCAUUCAAUUACCCAAACUAGACAUUUUUAAAGCUUUUUAGUUUUUUACUACACCAUUCUCUCCCCUUCUUUUACUGUAUACUUACAGAACCCCAGAGUUGUUUUAUUUUGUUUUUAAGGAGGUUUUAAAGAUCAUUCAUUCCAACUUCCCCAAUUAUAUGAAAUGAUGCUCUUCACAUUAUUUAGGAUAGGUGGACAUAUAGGCCAUACUUGAAUAUAUCCAAUAGUGACAGAUAGCUCACAAUCUCACAAGGCACCCUAUAACAUUUCUGUAUAUCUCAAUUAUUAGAAAGUUCUUUGAUAAUAAUGAGCCAAAAGUCUAUAUCCCUAUAACUUUGACUCAUUGGUCUUACUUAACUUUUCCUUCUGGAAUGACAGAUAAUAAGUCUCAUCUCUUUUCCAUGUAAUAACCCUUUUAAUUACACAAAGAUCAACUAUCACCUUUCCAUAAAACCUUUGUUUUUCCCGGCCAAAUUCAAUCAUCCAAAAAACAAUUUUUAAGAGGUUGUUGUUCUGGAGAUACAAAAAUAAAAUAAGUUCCAGCCCUCAAA